rnacentral:rRNA from 1 species
UGAAUACGAAAUGCUACGGCAUUGAAGUGAUCUAUGCCAUGCUUCCAAGAAAAUCUCGUCAUAUCUUAAAUAAUAAAUGCCUGUACCUUAAACCGACACAGGUAGGUAGGUAGAGUAUACCAAGGGGCGCGAGAUAACUCUCUCUAAGGAACUCGGCAAAAUAACCUCGUAACUUCGGAAGAAGAGGUACCCUUGAAAAAGGGUUGCAAUAACCAGACCCUGGCGACUGUUUACCAAAAACACAGGUCUCCGCUAAUUCGUAAGAUCAAGUAUGGAGGCUGACGCCUGCCCAGUGCCGGAAGGUUAAAGAAGUUGGUCAAUCUUCGGAUGAAGCUGGCGACUGAAGCCCCGGUGAACGGCGGCCGUAACAAUAACGGUCCUAAGGUAGCGAAGUUCCUUGUCGGGUAAGUUCCGACCCGCACGAAAGGCGUAACGAUCAGGGUGCUGUCUCGGAGAGAGACUCGGCGAAAUAGACAUGUCUGUGAAGAUGCGGACUACCUGCACCUGGACAGAAAGACCCUAUGAAGCUUUACUGUAUCUUGGAAUUGGGUUUGGGCCUUGUUUACGCAGGAUAGGUGGGAGGCUGUGAAGAUAUUCUCGUGGGAAUAUUGGAGCCAACGGUGAGAUACCACUCUAGCAAGGCUAAAAUUCUAACUCUGAACCGUUAUCCGGUCAGAGAACAGUUUCAGGUGGGCAGUUUGACUGGGGCGGUCGCCUCCUAAAAGGUAACGGAGGCGCGCAAAGGUUCCCUCAGGCUGGUUGGACAUCAGUCGUAGAGUGUAAAGGCAUAAGGGAGCUUGACUGCGAGACCCACAAGUCGAGCAGAGACGAAAGUCGGCCUUAGUGAUCCGACGGUUCCACGUGGAAGGGCCGUCGCUCAACGGAUAAAAGUUACUCUAGGAUAACAGGCUGAUCUCCCCCAAGAGUUCACAUCGACGGGGAGGUUUGGCACCUCGAUGUCGGCUCAUCGCAUCCUGGGGCGGUAGUACGUCCCAAGGGUUGGGCUGUUCGCCCAUGAAAGCGGUACGCGAGCUGGGUCCAGAACGUCGUGAGACAGUUCGGUCCAUAUCCGGUGCAGGCGUUAGAGCAUUGAAAGGAGUCCCCCUUAGUACGAGAGGACCGGGGGGAAUACACCGCUGGUGUACCAGUUAUCGUGCCAACGGUAAACGCUGGGUAGCCAUGUGUAGCGUGGAUAACUGCUGAAAGCAUCUAAGUAGGAAGCCCACCUUAAGAUGAGUGCUCUCACCGCUAUAAGCGGGUAAGGUCACGGUAAGAACAACCGUUAUAUAGGCAUUAAGUAUACAUGCAGUAAUGCAUUUAGCUGAGAUGUACUAACAGACCGAGGGCUU